rnacentral:lncRNA from 1 species
ACUUUAUUCACCAUUAUGCUUCUACAAAACUGUUUAAAGUACUAAGAAUGGGUCUCAGAAGUAUUUUGUUCAUACCUUGGGGUUACUGUCCAUACAUUAACUUACUAUACGUCGGUAAUUGACACAGAUCAGACUUGAAAAAUCAGGAAUGUUGAUAUGUGACGUUAAAACGAAAUGUAGUAUAUUGAUAAUAAUAUCAUAAACACAUACAUGCAUUAGACACGUAACACCCCACAAUAACAAAUUAAAGCUAACACUAUAUAUUGUAAUUUUUUUUAUUAAAAUUCCAUAGCAAAUUUUGUCACAGACUUACAUUCAGUCAUUUGCAUUUAAAGAAAUAAAUUUUCCCAAAACAACUGUCACUGUGAGUGAAAACGGCUAGGACGUAUUCAAUCCUCGACAAAGAAAAGAGGUUAAUACUAAUAUUUUCAAUUUGAUAUUCUGUUAUACUGUUAUAUAACCAUUUUCUCAUUUAAAUAUAAACAUAAACCUUUCUUUACAGUGCUUUCUUUCACGUCCGCGAUAUGGUCUAUAACCAAUAAUUUAUAGAAAAAAUAUAUUGAAAAGCAAAAGAGUAAAAAUUGCUUCCUGUGUGACAUGAAAUUUGUAAAAUAUAUAAUGUCUGAAAUUACUUCAGACAGGUAAGCAGGAGAAAGAGACAAUAAACUUGAACAAGAAUCAUAAUGAGGAUGGGUCCUUCCGCAGGAACAAACGGAAACUCCGAAGUAAAACUGUCUAUAACCAAUAAUUUAUAGUAAAAAUAUAUUGAAAAGCAAAAGAGUUUAAUUGCUUCCUGUGUGACAUGAAAUUUGUAAAAUAUAUAAUGUCUGAAAUUACUUCAGACAGGUAAGCAGGAGAAAGAGACAAUAAACUUGAACAAGAAUCGUAAGGAGGAUGGGUCCUUCCGCAGGAACAAAAUGAUCGAAAAUUUAGAUUAAAAUUUAACACGUUGCUUUUCAGUCAAUUUGAAUUGAAUGGAAUAUUGUGAAUUACAAGCUUCCAGCAUGAAAAAGCGGCAAGGGAAAAAUAUAGAUCCGCUAAUUAAAAAUUACAGCUUUACCGCCACUUUAAAAAUAAAAUAAUUAGC